CCUGGGCUCUCCCCAGCUCUGCCAUUUAUUGGCUGGUCAACAUUGAAAAAGAAACAUCUGUGCUUCCAUCUCACCAUCUGCGAAAUGGGGAAAUUCUCAUUCCAGUCAAUAUCUCCCCUUCUCCGCCUGUGACAACCACUGAUCGCCUUGCUGUCACAGUCAAUCCGUGAAAGGACCUGCUCCUGAACAUGCAAUCGAGCCGUGCAGGAGGUCAUCUUCUGUGCCUGGUUUGGAGAUUUCUGCAACAUGGUUGCAUCCCUCCAUGAGGCUUUCUUGCUGCUGAGUGGGAUUCCAAUGUCCCAGUGUCCACAUAGACUCCAGCUGGUUGACCCAUUCACUACGAUGGACACUGGGUUAUUUCCAUGGUGGGGUAACUAUUGAUAAAGCCACUGCAG
rnacentral:lncRNA from 10 species